GAGCUUGUUCCCUGGAGUUGCCAGCAGAUGUAAACAGGGUUCUGAAAAAAUGUAAAAAUAUCCCUCCUUGUUGCAAGCCAAGCAAUUAAAAUUUCAGCUGUAUGUUAUAGUCUGAACUGGCUCGUGCUGUUUAGUUUGGGACAGCCAGAGUUCUGCAGCAGGGAGGUUGUAACUGGGUAGGUAAAUUGAUCCUCUUGUAUCAUUUACAGACCUGUACAGGCCAGGCAUGUACAGGCUCACUUAAUAUUUUGGGAGUGCCUCUAUUGGAACAAUGGAUGUGGAAUGUCAGAGUAUUAUUUUAAAAUGUAUUAAGAAGACAUGAGUUUAACCCUUUCUCCCAAGUCUGCAGUAAUAGCACUCUGUGGUACUGCGGCAUGAUUUUAUAAACAGUUGUCUUGAUUUUUUUUUUUUUUAUGUCCUUGAUUUUUUUACUUGCUCUUUAAGGCUUAGUGCUUUGGACAGUGAGCAAAGUAUGAGUAGAGUUGGGUUUUGGUUUUGACUGUCCUAUAUAUUGAUUUUUUCCUCUUGUGUAGGUCAUCUGAGUGAAUGCAUUUCUGCAGUGUUUUCCUGUGCUUGUACUAUGUACUAAGUGUUUAUAAACACAGGCAAAGAGAACUUCUUGCAGAAUACUUCAUAGAACGGAGAGAUUCUACAAGAAGUUUUUAAUAAAAAUUUCUUCUCACCCAAUUCCUGCUUCUCAAAAGUAGGUUACUGAUCAGAUUUCACCUCAGUAAGAGCUGUGCAUCUGGUUUGGAUAACAGUAUCAAUUUCUUACAGCAAUGAACAGGGACUUUUUAAAGGGCCAAAAGUCAGAUUUUUCUCUUCAAACAGACAUUCACUAUAGUGAACAACUACUUUGUACCUCAAAGAACCUGGAUAUGAUUAUUUAAACACUGAAAAGCAAUUUAUCAGCAGGUGGGAUUUGACUGUUAAUUGUCUCAUGACUGUAGAUAUCUCAGCUGAGAUUAAAAUUAUUAUCUUUAGGCCAGUUAUACAAAGUAAUACUCCAUGGACAUUUUGUGACAGUUUUUUGUAGAUAUUUUUGUAUUUGUUUAAUUUAUAGUAGGACACUCAAGUUAAGAGAUAAAUUGCAGUUCAGUGUAACUGUUUUUAACAUCUCUAUCAGGGAUGUUAAUCAAACUCAGUAUUAUUUUCCAGCCAGUCUGCCAUCACAGGUCAUUUAAUAAAAAUCUUUGCUUGACUCUUUUGACUGAUUGUCAGCAUUUCAUGGAUAAAAUCCAGCAUUUUGGCAAAAAAAUCUUUUCCAUUUCUCUGCAGCACCCAAGAACUGAUCAAUUUUUCAAGA